rnacentral:rRNA from 1 species
AUUGAACGCUGGCGGCAUGCCUUACACAUGCAAAUCGAACGGUAACGGGCCUUCGGGUGCCGACGAGUGGCGCACGGGUGAGUAAUACAUCGGAACGUGCCCGAUCGUGGGGGAUAACGAGGCGAAAGCUUUGCUAAUACCGCAUACGAUCUACGGAUGAAAGCAGGGGACCGCAAGGCCUUGCGCGGACGGAGCGGCCGAUGGCAGAUUAGGUAGUUGGUGGGAUAAAAGCUUACCAAGCCGACGAUCUGUAGCUGGUCUGAGAGGAUGAUCAGCCACACUGGGACUGAGACACGGCCCAGACUCCUACGGGAGGCAGCAGUGGGGAAUUUUGGACAAUGGGCGCAAGCCUGAUCCAGCCAUGCCGCGUGCAGGAUGAAGGCCUUCGGGUUGUAAACUGAUUUUGUACGGAACGAAAAGCCUUCUUUUAAUACAGGAGGGUCAUGACGGUACCGUAAGAAUAAGCACCUGCUAACUACGUG